GCGGGGCGAGGCCGCCUCCCGGGCCUGCCCGGCCGCGCAGAUGCGCCGCCUCGCCCGGAGCCUCCCGCCCGCCUUCCCGGGGACUGCGGAGCUGCGAGGGGAACACCCAGCGCCGCAUCCAUCGGCGGCUCGCGGGCCGCCGUCCCGCCCUGCCAGGGUCCUGCUCCGGCCCUUGGAGGGGCAUUGCUCUCUGCGGAGCUGCUGCAGCACGCCCGAGGUCUGAGCCCGUGGAUUCAGCGUGGAUUCAGCAGCCAGGCGCAGCAGAUCGCUGGGAAAAGGGAGUAGUGCGGUGUGUGAUGGCAAGAUUCACCAGUGCCUCUUCCACAGCUGCAUAUCAGCCUGGAUGUAGUCACCCUGUCAGGAGUGUAAAAUUUACAGCAGAAAUUAUUUUAAUGCUGGAAAAGCUCUUACUCAUCUGAACCGUCAUUCAAAAUGCACAGUGAAAGUCUCCAAGCAGAAGUUUUCCAUCCCACUGUCUGCAGGACUCCUGCAGGUCUUCUGAUGCUUAAGCAUAUCUGUCUCAGGCUGCCCCUAAAAAGAAAAAGAAGUAAUCUGGCAAAAUGAACUCAGAACACACAAAGAAGAACCACUGGAGACUAAUCUGCAAGGUAUUCAGUUUCGCUGAUAACAUGCAUCAGAAUCUGUUAACCAUUGGCUGUUCCAGAUAUGAUGUCAAAGCCAACAAGGGAGACUUGAUGUAGUAUGACUCAAAACCAGAAGUAUUUUGAGGUCUAGAAGACCAAACCUCCAUACAAGGAAGGCUUAGAACAUCCUGCCACAGCCUAAACUUGUGGAAAACUCCACAGUGCUUCAGUGUGGCAUACUGGUUUUGGUCAAAUAUAAUACGGUGCUCUUCCUAUUUGUGCAACUUCCACCUUCUUUUUCGAGUUAUUUAUUCAACUGUUUCAGUUAGAACAUCUUUCUUGGUAAGCCUGCAUUACCUCAGCACGUCAAGAGGAAUAUUCUCAAGUUCAUACAACACUGAAGAAUGUCAUCUGCUUGAGGAAUUUUGCAUUGCUUUCCAAAAUACAUAUUGAUUGCAGCAGAA